GCACUUUCAGUCAGGAGGAAAGGGUGUGAGUUAAUACCUCACUAUCUGUGACGUUACUGACAGAAGAAGCACCGGCUAACUCCGUGCCAGACAGCCGCGGUAAUACGGAGGGUGCGAGCGUUAAUCGGAAUUACUGGGCGUAAAGCGUACGCAGGCGGUUUGUUAAGCGAGAUGUGAAAGCCCCGGGCUCAACCUGGGAACUGCAUUUCGAACUGGCAAACUAGAGUGUGAUAGAGGGUGGUAGAAUUUCAGGUGUAGCGGUGAAAUGCGUAGAGAUCUGAAGGAAUACCGAUGGCGAAGGCAGCCACCUGGGUCAACACUGACGCUCAUGUACGAAAGCGUGGGGAGCAAACGGGAUUAGAUACCCCGGUAGUCCACGCCGUAAACGAUGUCUACUAGAAGCUCG
rnacentral:rRNA from 1 species